UCUCUGCCCAAUGAUUUUUUAAAUGGCCGCAGUAUUUUGACUGUGCAAAGGUAGCAUAAUCAAUAGUUUUUUAAUUGAAAACUGGAAUGAAAGAGUUGAUAAAAUAUAUACUUUAUUUAAUAAAAUUUUAGAAUUUAUAAUUUUAGUUAAAAUACUAAAAUAAAUUUAUGGGACGAGAAGACCCUUUAGAAUUUUAUAUAAUUAAUUUUAUUUAAUUUAAUAAUAAUUUAUUUAGAAUUAAUUUUAUUUUAUUGGGAGGAUAAUUAAAUUUAUUGAACUUUAAUAUUAUAAUUAACAAUAAUUAUUGAAUUAAUGAUUUUAUAAAUUAAUAAAUAGAUUAAAUUACCUAAGGGAUAACAGCGUAAUAUUUUUGGAGAGUUCAUAUUGAUAAAAAUGUUUGCGACCUCGAUGUUGAAUUAAAAUAAAAUUUAAAUGUAGGUGUUUAAAAUUUAAGUCUGUUCGACUUUUAAAAUUUUACAUGAUUUGAGUUCAAAUC
rnacentral:rRNA from 1 species